rnacentral:rRNA from 1 species
CUAAGGGGGGCACCAGUAGGGAAUAUUGCGCAAUGGGCGAAAGCCUGACGCAGCAAUGCCGCGUGAGUGAGGAAGGCCUUAGGGUUGUAAAGCUCUGUUAAUGUGGAAAAAUGGCCCCUAGGUUAAUGGCCUAGGAGUUUGAUGGUACACAUAGAGGAAGCACCGGCUAACUUCGUGCCAGCAGCCGCGGUAAUACGAAGGGUGCAAGCGUUGUUCGGAUUUAUUGGGCGUAAAGCGCGCGCAGGCGGGUUAACAAGUCAGAUGUGAAAUCCGGGGGCUCAACUCCGAAACUGCGUCUGAAACUAUUAGUCUAGAAUCUUGGAGAGGGAAGGGGAAUUUCACAUGUAGGGGUAAAAUCCGUAGAGAUGUGAAGGAACAUCAGGGGCGAAGGCGCCUUCCUGGCCAAGUAUUGACGCUGAGGCGCGAAAGCGUGGGUAGCGAACAGGAUUAGAUACCCUAGUAGUC